AUUUGAAUGCUGGUGCCCAAACUGCUGUGCAUGUCUAGCCGACCCUGAGGUAGUAAUGCCAGAGGGGGCUACCCAGUGACAAUGCUGACUGCAGGCUCCUUGCUUCCCAUCCCCGUUGGCUCCUGAUGGCUCUUCUAGUCCUGCUUCACUUCCUCAAAAGGCAGAAAUAAGAAAGGGCUCUCUGAGUCUGCACAGAAACCUGCUUGAUAGUUACAAAAACCUUCCCUGAGACCUGUGGCUAAGUUGGGGCCAGUAUUUCCAGGGACCCCCAUGCUAGUUUCUGGCCAUACACUACAUCCCUCUUUUUAGUGCAAAGAUAACUUUCUCACCUUAACAAGGGUGUACCAUUUUCUGGACUUGGUCUAAGAACCACUAACCUUUGCACCUCUUGCUUUCCUGGGCCCCCUUAUCUCUGUCACCUACCAGUGCAGCCGCCCCGAGUUGGCUGAUCUGUUUGUGAAGUCAUUGACACUCUUUGUACUUCUCUAAGAAAUAGGCUUUCCUGGCCUCUACCUUUGCCUUAAGGCGUUCCACCUCUUGUGCUAACUGCUCCUCCACAGUUAGUGCCGCUUUCUUGUUCCUAGGCUCCUGAAGCAUAAGAUACACAGUACUCAUAUUUAGCGGCCUUUUAGGAUGUAUGAGGAAUUAGGAUUGCUAUCAGCCAGGUGGGGAGCCCCUAGGUCUUGAAAAAUAUUCCAUGAAAACUAAGAAAAUUGGCCGGGUGCAGUGGCUCACACCUGUAAUCCCAGCACUUUGGGAGGCCGAGGUGGGUGGAUCACCAGAGGUCAGGAGUUUGAGACCAGCCUAGCCAACAUGGCAAAACCCCAGCAAGACUGAAUGUGGGCUCAAUGUUGCUAGGUCCCUUCAUUUCCCAAAGGAAGUUGGAAAUACAAAUUUUUAUGGGAAAUAUUCCUAUUUUUAAAUGUUGGUAACUACUUUCUAAAACAUUUCUGUGGUCUGACCUUGACCUAUGAUCU
rnacentral:lncRNA from 1 species